GCCAAACAUCCAGCCCAACAGCCCUCACAAAACACCACAUACAAUAAAACAAACCAUUUGAUAAGAGUAGUAAAGGCGAUUAAACAUCAACACAAGGAGCAAUAGAAACAGUACCACAAGGGAAAUAUGAAAAAACAGUGAAACACCCAAAGCAAAAAAAAGCAAAGACUAAUCCUUGUACCUCUUGCAUCAUGGUCUAGCAAGAACAAUACAGACACGGCGACCCUAGCCUGUAACCCAGAAACCAAGUGAGCUACCAUAUAGCAGCACAAGAGCUAACCCGUCCCUGUAGCAAAAGGGUGGGAAGACUUUAUGGUAGCAGUGAAAAGCCUACCGAACUUGUUGAUAGCUGGUUGCCUGAUAAAUGAACCUAAGUUCAACCUUAAAUUUUAACCGCCCUUCAUAGCGCCCCCUUAAUUUAAGAGAUAUUCAAUGAGGGUACAGCCUCAUUGAACCAGGAUUCAACCUGAAAUAGAGAGCACAUUUUUAUUACUAUUACAGUAGGCCUUAAAGCAGCCACCAAAAAACACAGCGUCACAGCACACAACCAAAAAUACCAAACAUAAAAAUAUUCUCCUAUUGCCAAACCAGGCCACUCUAUAUAAAUAUAGAGAAACUAAUGCUAGAACUAGUAACAAGAACUAAUCUCUUCGCACAAUUGUAAAUCAGCAAUAGAACAACUACUGAAAGUUAACGGAGCUAUAUAAAUAUUUUCCAUCAAUAUAUUACACUAACCCGUUGCCCCAACACAGGUGUGCAAAAAAGAAAGAUUAAAAAUUAAAGAAGGAACUCGGCAAAACCCAGUCCCAACUGUUUACCAAAAACAUAGCCUUCAGCUAACAAAGUAUUGAAGGUAACGCCUGCCCAGUGAACAAUUCAACGGCCGCGGUAUUCUAACCGUGCAAAGGUAGCGUAAUCACUUGUCCCCUAAAUAGGGACCUGUAUGAAUGGCUAAAUGAGGACCAAACUGUCUCCUUUAAUUAAUCAGUGAAACUGAUCUACCAGUCCAAAAGCUGGUAUUUUAUCAUAAGACGAGAAGACCCUGUGGAGCUUUAAAUUAAAAGCCAAAACUAAAAUCUCACUAAACCCUAAAUAUGGCCCAAAAUUUUAAGUUGGGGCGACUUCGGAACAAAACAAAACUUCCGAGCAUAAAGGAAAUUAACCUCAUCAAGACUAACAAGUCAAAACAAAACUUGACCCAGUAUAACUGAUAACCGAACCAAGUUACCCCAGGGAUAACAGCGCAAUCUUCUUCAAGAGUUCAUAUCGACAAGAAGGUUUACGACCUCGAUGUUGGAUCAGGACACCCAAAUGGUGCAGCAGCUAUUAAAGGUUCGUUUGUUCAACGAUUAAUAGUCCUACGUGAUCUGAGUUCAGACCGGAGCAAUCCAGGUCGGUUUCUAUCUAUGUAGUUGCUUUCUACAGUACGAAAGGACCCAGAAAGCAGGACCUAUGCUAACAGCACGUCCUAAAAAUUUACAAGGCUGAUUUAACUAAAGCCUAACAACAAACCCCAUUAAACCCGAAGAUAGCGGGCU
rnacentral:rRNA from 1 species